GAUCAUGGCUCAGAACGAACGCUGGCGGCAGGCCUAACACAUGCAAGUCGAGCGCGCCCUUCGGGGUGAGCGGCGGACGGGUUAGUAACGCGUGGGAACGUACCCUUUGGUAGGGAAUAGCCACUGGAAACGGUGAGUAAUACCCUAUGAGCCCUUCGGGGGAAAGAUUUAUCGCCAAAGGAUCGGCCCGCGUUAGAUUAGGUAGUUGGUGGGGUAAUGGCCUACCAAGCCUACGAUCUAUAGCUGGUUUUAGAGGAUGAUCAGCAACACUGGGACUGAGACACGGCCCAGACUCCUACGGGAGGCAGCAGUGGGGAAUCUUGGACAAUGGGGGCAACCCUGAAUCCAGCCAUGCCGCGUGAGUGAAGAAGGCCUUAGGGUCGUAAAGCUCUUUCGCCUGUGAAGAUAAUGACGGUAGCAGGUAAAGAAACCCCGGCUAACUCCGUGCCAGCAGCGGC
rnacentral:rRNA from 1 species